GUACGAGCGCGCCAUAGUGCUUGACCGAAGAUCGAGGGAUUCAUUCAAAGGAGAUUCUGACAUAAUGGCUCGAGUUAAGUGAACUCCGCAAUCCAAAGUCCCAGCGGCGCUCAAGAACUAAUGCCUCCGUUGCAAUCCAGCUCCUCAUCAACUUGCCCCAGGCUUCCAGCCAACUUCAAGACGGCGUCCAUGUGCUCGACCAAAUUCCCCACCAAAAUCCCACAGCUUAAAACGUUUCGAUGUUCAGCUUCACUUACAUCGCUUUCACUCCAUCCUGAAGAAUAACAAAGAAACAUAGAACAAGGAGAGCUGGUAUCAGCUCGUCUUCUACGCAUUUCUAUUUUGGUAGCCUGCAACCAUCCACCGACCACUACGAAAUAAUUUAAGCAGAGGUAUCUCAGAAACAUAGAAAUGAAGGUGCUGAGAAAUAAAAUGGAAAUACAUUUCCUUCUCAAUCUGUUAGCUUUGCUGUUAACACGCUUUACAAUGGACGGAGGCAACAAAAUAACCUCAAAUUUAAGUAUCACUUUUGUUGGUAGAAUAACCCGCUGAAAUCUCACUUGGGAAAAACAUAGAAUCCCAUGGAAGAUUCGGUUUCCACUCAUCAG